rnacentral:rRNA from 1 species
UACGAAGGGGGCUAGCGUUGUUCGGAUUUACUGGGCGUAAAGCGCACGUAGGCGGAUCGAUCAGUCAGGGGUGAAAUCCCAGAGCUCAACUCUGGAACUGCCUUUGAUACUGUCGAUCUGGAGUAUGGAAGAGGUGAGUGGAAUUCCGAGUGUAGAGGUGAAAUUCGUAGAUAUUCGGAGGAACACCAGUGGCGAAGGCGGCUCACUGGCUCGAUACUGACGCUGAGGUGCGAAAGCGUGGGGAGCAAACAGG